CUUGGUCAUUUAGAGGAAGUAAAAGUCGUAACAAGGUCUCCGUUGGUGAACCAGCGGAGGGAUCAUUACCGAGUUUACAACUCCCAAACCCCUGUGAACAUACCUUACUGUUGCCUCGGCGGAUCAGCCCGCGCCCGGUAAAACGGGACGGCCCGCCAGAGGACCCCUAAACUCUGUUUUUAUUGUAACUUCUGAGUAAAACCAUAAAUAAAUCAAAACUUUCAACAACGGAUCUCUUGGUUCUGGCAUCGAUGAAGAACGCAGCAAAAUGCGAUAAGUAAUGUGAAUUGCAGAAUUCAGUGAAUCAUCGAAUCCUUGAACGCACAUUGCGCCCGCCAGUAUUCUGGCGGGCAUGCCUGUUCGAGCGUCAUUUCAACCCUCAAGCCCCCGGGUUUGGUGUUGGGGAUCGGCGAGCCUUAUGGCAAGCCGGCCCCGAAAUCUAGUGGCGGUCUCACUGCAGCCUCCAUUGCGUAGUAGCUAACACCUCGCAACUGGAACGCGGCGCGGCCAAGCCGUUAAACCCCCAACUUCUGAAUGUUGACCUCGGAUCAGGUAGGAAUACCCGCUGAACUUAAGCAUAUCAAUAAGCGGAGGA
rnacentral:rRNA from 1 species